rnacentral:lncRNA from 1 species
UCUGUUUUCCUUUAAAUAAACCUCCUUGUUGCAGCCACAAAACAUUCCACACACAUCCAUACAACUCCAUUCACGCCAGAAUUCAUCCACCAUCCCUAACCGCACCUAUCCUUCACAAAACUCCAUAGUUUCUGACCCCAAACCCCCCCUAGCCGUGCCUCUACACCCCCCCAAAUUCCAUUCUACGUCAUCAAAACAAUCCAAGAAGCAUCACCAUACAAUCUGCCGCAAGCAACAAAGGGGACAGAUUCUCUACAAUUGUUUGGCUUUUCAAUCUGAGUUGUUGAACGAUUUUAGGUGUUUUCUAUCUUAUAUUUCAAUGUCUAAUUCAUGUAAUCUUUGUUUUGCUUUAAGUAUGAUUGGCUAAAUUCGUUUUGGCUAAGGGUGGAUUCAAAACCAUGAUUAUAUAUGUGAAAUAAGUUGAUUACUUCCAGUUAUCGUUGCAUAAGUCGUGAAUACAAUUCGCUUAACCGUUUGAUUUAGAACUUAUUCUUGUAUGUUGAUUGAGAGUGCACGCUUAAUUUGCAUGCUUGAAUUUGGUGCUAGGAUAUAAGUUUGUUUCACCUAAUCGUUAUGAAUUUAUAUUUGCAAGUAGUGAAGGUCACUAGUCACGAUCGUGUUAAGUAGAUUCCUGGCAAGAGUAUCAUGCUUUUCGUAGUUACGAAUGCCUUGUCGAUGCUUAUGAUUUCCAAAGAACGUAAUGAUUCUAACUUGUAUCUUUAUCAUGUUGUUCAUAUAGAGAACUUGUUAGGAAUAAUUUGUUUGCAAUGCAUAUUCAUCCAAUUCAAUGAUUCUAGGGAAAUCUGAAGGUUAAUUUAAGCGGACCUAAUUAACUUGGAGUGUCGAGGUUCAUAACUUGUUAAAUUGAUAACUGGAAAUCGAUUUAGAUUGCAUAUAUUUCAUGUGUGGAGAAGAACCCCUUAGCUAUUCCAUCAUCCAUUGAUUCAUCACAAUUUUGUCUUACAAUCUGUUUUCUUUACAAUCUGUCCAUUUAGUUUAUUUUCGUCCAAAUCAAAUCCCCAUUUAUUUUGAAGUCCUAGAUUAGUUAGAAAGUGUGUUGGUUUAUGUUUUUAAGUGUUUUGGUACAAGUUAAAACCCAAAUUCGUCCAAUUUGGUGCUUUGUGUUCAAAACUGCCCAGAAAGUGUUUUUAAGGCAGUUUUGAGUCUUUUAGUUGCUGUUUUGAGUUUUUGGUUUGUUUUAGUAUUUUAAACGUUAGUUUUGCAUUCUUUGAGUCUAAUCUAGUGUCUUAAACUUUGUUUUUGCGUUUCUAGUUCAGUUUUCAAGUGAUUAGUGCCCCUAGUUAAUCCCCGGUUAGAAUGAUCCCUACUUACAUCAUUACUACAAUUGUCACAAAUAGGGUUUAAUUUGUGUGUCAACAUAAUGUUCACAUCAACGAUCGCGCUAAAUAAAUUCUUGGCAGGAGUUUCAUGCUCAUCAUAGUAACGAAUGCCUCGUCAAUACUUAUAGUUUUCAUAAUGCUUAAGGAUCUUUGAUUGUAUCUUUAUUGUGCUGUUCACGUAAAGAACUUUUGAAGAAUGCUUGAAUUGUUGUAUGCGCUUUCCCAUCCAAUUCAAUAUCUUAAGGAGAACUUGAAGGUUAAUUUAAGCGGACUUAACUAACCUGGGGUGUUGAGUUUCAUGAUUGAUCGAAAGAACAACUGAAAAUUGGUUUAUGUGCAAGUAUGUCAUGUGUGGAGAAGAACCUCCUAGCUAGCCUUCCAUCCGUUCAAUUUACUCAAAUUCGUGCAGAUUUCAUUAGUUCUUUAAUUUACUUGUUUUGUUUUCAAAUUCGUCAAAACCAAAACCCCCUUUACUUUAAAGUGUUUUAUUAGUGAAAAUCUGUUUUGAUUUGUGUUUUUAGGCAGAUUUGAGCGUUUUUAGCUUGUUUUGAGUCCUUUGAGUUUGUUUUAAGUUCUUUGAGUCUAGUUUAGUGUUUUUAACUUUGUCUAUAUGUUUUUAAGUCAGUUUAGAGGUUUUAGCAAGCCCUCCAAAUCUCCAGUUUAGAAUGAUCCCUACUUGCAUUUAUACUACAAUUUGACAACAAGAGGGUUUAAUUUGUGUGCUAAGAAAAUUUUCGCAUCAGCAGGCUAGGAUCGAGUUGACGUCGCUUUGGGUGCGGAGCUUACCGAUGGAGAGAUUGGCAGUCUGGUUCUUUCAUGGCCUCUACUGGCUUUCUGUAAAAAGAAAAAGUGAAGAGAGGGAGAGUUUGGGGGUUUGCUUUUUAGGGUUUACAGAGGAGAGAGAAGAGAGAAAGAGUGGGAAAUGUUGGAGUAAAUGAUGACGAGCAAGGGAGGUGGUUGUGAAGAAGAAGGCAAGGGGGAUCGGGUCAGGUUCGAGCUUGUGAGAAUUAAAGAUCUGGUGGAACGGAUGGAC